ACUGCUUUUCUUGGAGGGGCCGGAUACAGAGAGCCUCCAUGUGAACCUUUAGCACAUUUGGAAAUUCUUGGCAACAUGCUUCAUUUCAUUUUGGAGGCAAGAGAUGGCGGAACAAUACACUGGAAGGCAUUGCAUCAUCUUUUCCCUCACCUGUCUCCAAGGAUCUGUCCUUUGUAAAUCGCUGUGGUCAUCAGUCUUCACAUAUUGAAACCUUGGAGCUACUCCAUGGUGGAUUACAACUGAUUUCCCAUGUUUACUGGAAUGCCAUUGGGAAUGGGGCUCAUCUUUGAAAGGAGUUCUAUUAACCAAGUGCCUGGAGGCCUGGGAUCUACGGCUCAGAAUUCCCGACAUCAGAAUUGUUGUGUGGAGUCAGUACUCACAGGAGAUUUGGAAAGCAGAAGAGAAACAGAAGCCAUUUUAUCAGUCCUUUGAUAGCAGCAAGCAGAUUCAUGGACUCUGGCAGAACACAGACUUUUGGUUGUUUUCACUCAAAUCACCUGCUUUGAUGCUGAGCCUUGCAAUCAUGAUCAGUUACUCCCUGGGUUCCUACAGCUUCCUAACCCCUCAGCUGGCUGCAAACUCAGACCCAGCAGUGAACCACGCAGACCUCCACGCUUCCUGACAGUCUUCCCGACAACUCCGUAAAUGCUUAAUUCCCUUCACUGAAACCCCUUAGCAGUUUAAAAUACCUACAGUCUUCUGUUUUCUUGAACAGCCUUGACUGAUACAAACAGAAACCCUAAUGCCAAGUCCUACAACUGCCAUCACGUAAACAAGUCUGCAGCGAUAUUCCAACACGCUGAGGAUGCUGCGAUGGAAAGAUACCAGGUUCCGUAGGACACUAUCGAGCCAGCGCUCCAGCUCUAGACUACGUUAUAGUCUCACUGCUAUUUUUGUGAAGAAAAAUCAAAUAUAUUUGGUCAGCCAGAUUAGUCAAGUUUUCACGUAUUUUUAGCCAAAGCAUUCUUAAUGUUUACACUCAGAUUCUCAGCUGUAAAAUGGGGCUACAAUAAAGUCUCGUAGGUACAACAAAUGCAGUGUGUUUGGCAUAUAGUGAUCGCUUCAAUGUUAGUGAUUAAUAUUGAAUCAUUUUACACAUCUUCAAAUUAAAAAUAAGAUGUAUCUCUUCCUUGGAAUGAAAUUUCCAAGAAGGAGCACUCAUAUAAAUAAAAUAGGCUUUUCUAAAUUUGAGCCUGAAGAUUCAGUUAAAGUAGUGAAUAGCAAGUGAUAGUAUAUUUGGAUGACUACUUUCUAUUUCAUUGACAAAUGGAAUUAGUGGGAGCAUUAUGUGGAGACCCAUGUGUGACGUGCACACCGUAUCUGAAAAACAUAAGGAAGAGAUUGGGCUUGAGAUAGGCCGAUGCAAUGUAAGGAAAAACAAACUUUAAUGUUAUGGGUAUAAUUUUUUCCUCCUAAUGGAAUGUUCUAUAAAUAUUUCUCAUUUUAUAAUAACUUACU